AUUGAACGCUGGCGGCAUGCUUUACACAUGCAAGUCGAACGAGUGGCGAACGGGUGAGUAAUGUCUCGGAACGUGCCGAGUAGAGGGGGAUAACUACUGGAAAGAUUAGCUAAUACCGCAUAUUAUUCGAGCGGCCGAUAUCUGAUUAGCUAGUGGGUGGGGUAAAGGCCUACCAAGGCGACGAUCCGUAGCGGGUCUGAGAGGAUGACCCGCCACACUGGGACUGAGACACGGCCCAGACUCCUACGGGAGGCAGCAGUGGGGAAUUUUGGACAAUGGGCGCAAGCCUGAUCCAGCCAUGCCGCGUGUAUGAAGAAGGCCUUCGGGUUGUAAAGGACUUUUGUCAGGGAAGCGGUACCGGAAGAGAAAGCCACGGCUAACUACGUGCCAGCAGCCGCGGUAAUUC
rnacentral:rRNA from 1 species